UGUAGAUGUAUUGCUUAGGGGCAAGCUGCCCAUGAUCUGUUGUUGAUCUCUGCCUUGUGUCCAAUUGGGGCUUUAAACAAUGGUUCACUUGUGCAAAGAGAAGCUUCUUGGAUGAGGGAUUCCUCCGUCUACCACCAAGCAAUCGGAGACAAGGCGGGCGCAGUAACACUGAAAACAUGCCAACUGUGCCUCACACAUAUUGGAUACAUGGAACUGAACUCCUCCUAAUCUCCACUUCGCAUUAUUACCAGCACCUGGGCACCGUGGUAGUCGGUUCUCCCAGACCCCAGCAGGAAAAUAAUAAGAAGGAACCUGGAGUCCGUGCACAGCAUUCAAGGACUGAACCAGCGUUGAACUAACAAGAACCAUUCUUUUGAAAGGCACCUAGAGAUUUCCUCGCUUGCAAAGUUGCUCUGGACUGAAAGUUAUCAUAGGAACUGUGAAGCUACCAAGGAUAUCCAAGUCCAGGUAUGAAAUCUUCAGUCUUCUGUGCAGGUCACCUGGACCUCCAUGAUCCUUCAACACUCAGAGGAAUUACAAGUCUCACAACCUGAACAAAGUCAGUACACGUCAGCGCCGCUUGUAAAUCAUGCCAGACGUGACUUUUGUCGAUUCGUUUUGUUUCUAGCAAGAUGGAAAACCAUUAAUACGGUCUUUAACUUUAAAGCAGACUUGUGAGCGCCGAGAUAAAAUACUAAGAAUUCUCUCUGACUGAACGAAGAAACAAUAAAACGAGCUGAUUCUAUUUGUGGAUAACAAAACCCUUCUCAAGAAGGAGCACACACUUCCUUAAGUGCUAAUCAUCCUACCCAGUCUCACUCACUGACUUAAAAAACAGGUUUCUCACAGUGUCUGAAGUAAGGCAGACUUGCAAUAAGAAGGUAUAUAAUUCCUUUCAAAUAAAUGUGGGCACUGACUCUAGUCUGUGUGUCUGGCCAAGGGCUAUAAAGGGCAUCCAUUUGGUUAUACGCUUACGCU
rnacentral:sRNA from 1 species